CCCAACUGGGCAGAGGGAUCCUCCUCCUGGCAUCGCUGAAAGCACUUCAAUGCAGCCUGUCAGGAGCACCAGGAAGCUCAGAACCAACAGCAGUUUCUGCCCCAAGUGAGAAAGUGCAGGUGGGAGCUCCGGCCAAACCUCUGCUGCUCUCCAAACUCCUAAGCCAUCUUUAUCAGCACCGUUCCCACAUCAGUAUUUUCCUUGCCGCCGCAGAAGGACAUCCAGAAGUGCGGUAUCUCUCCGCACUCCUCGUUCCCCAUCUGUGCUUUACAGAACCAGGCAUUUCAAAGCACAACACACACACCGGGAUUUCAAUCCGACGCUCCUUAUCAGGCCAAUGUUUUGAUUUACUAACGGUUCACAUCGGCCUGGUCAUAGUGAAAGCAAUUCCCCAGAGGAGCUUGCCGCGGGGGUAGCAGCAGAACGAACUGCGCUGGAGUGGGAGUCAUUUGGCAGCCGCUGUCUCAUUCACACUUCCCUGCCUGGCUCCGUCAUCCCAGUUCCCCGAAAGCCUCGAUUAGCCCUUCUCAAGUUUUACUAAAGUCACUUGGCCACCGAGUUUUCGGUCAGUGCUCCUGCUCCUCGUGCUAUCAUCCACCAAAAUCAAAAGCUGCCUUCAUCCAGAGCCUUCCAGAUCCGUCCCCCAGACGCGCCACGGGUACCGCUGAUGCCACGAGCAUCCCCAGCGCCGGCUGACUCGCCUCAUGACCCUUUCCGAUGCUUGUCACCCAGGCUAACAUCUCCGUUCCCACCACUCCGGAGUGGAAAAGCAACUCGCCCCCAACUUUCGGCAGCUCUCUAAAGCAGCCCCUCCCGCAGCGGACCCCCCGCCGUCCUGCCCGUUCACCCCCGCACGCAGGGCAAGCUGCAGCGCCGCCGGCUGCCAUCCCGACCCGCUCCCAGCGCAAGCCACGCCGUGGGACCCAGCCCGAAGGCUGGGCGCUCACUCACCCGGGGGCAGCUGGAAGUUGGCCGGUAACCGGAGGGUGGCCGUGGAUGGCCCCUUGGGCGCUACCGGCCGCGGGCCCCUAGGGACGGCCGGCGGGCGCGGCGGUUGCGGGGCGGCGGAAGGCGCUGGGCUGCCGGGCACCUUGGCGGCGAGGCUGCCCCGCUCGGCCGCCGGGCCCGCGGCGGGGACGCGCAGGAGCCUCACGGGUGGCACGGCCCCCGCCGCCGCCUGCUCCGGGUGCCCGCCGGGCAUCAGCCUAACGGGGGCUGCUGCUGCCGCCGAGGUGCUCAUGGAGGAGGAGGCGGCGAGGGAGCGGGGGGCGGCCGCGUGGCGUGGGGCCCCGCAGCGCCCCGCAGCAUCGCGGGCGGGGGCCGCUCAGGCGCUGCGCUGCCGGCCGCCGGCUGGCUGACGGAAACACAU